rnacentral:rRNA from 1 species
UACGAAGGGGGCUAGCGUUGCUCGGAAUCACUGGGCGUAAAGGGUGCGUAGGCGGGUCUUUAAGUCGGGGGUGAAAUCCUGGAGCUCAACUCCAGAACUGCCUUUGAUACUGAAGAUCUUGAGUUCGGGAGAGGUGAGUGGAACUGCGAGUGUAGAGGUGAAAUUCGUAGAUAUUCGCAAGAACACCAGUGGCGAAGGCGGCUCACUGGCUCGGUACUGACGCUGAGGUGCGAAAGCGUGGGGAGCAAACAGG